AAAGAAGCGACGGUGAAAUACCACUACUCUUGAUCUUGUCUUACUUACUCCGUUAG
rnacentral:rRNA from 1 species